rnacentral:lncRNA from 1 species
CAGUCACAUUCAAUCUGCCGUCAGGACGCUGAGGUAGAUGAAAUCUUCUACUUGGUUUCCUUUCUUUUUACUCUGCCAGGACCCGGCUUGCAGAAUGGCACCAUUCACAUUUAGGGUAAAUCCUCACAGCUAAGUGAUCAAACCUAGAAAUGUCCUCACAAGCAUGCCCAGAGGUAUUCUGAGGUGAUCCUGGAUCGUGUUGAGUUGACAAGAUUAAUCGUCACCCUGGUCAUCGCUACUCCAAGAGAGAGGGACAGGCCAAUAGGAAGAGGGAACUGGAAAUGUCACCGGAUUGAAAACAUCCUCCUGUGGAGGUUCUACUCUGGCUUAGAAAACUCAUCCUUAUACUUCACAGCCCAGCCGUCAAGACGUUGGGGGUGGGAAUGCUUGGGUCUACCCAGUCCGGAAAUGCUGAUGGUGAACGGACGUACAGACACGGAUGGACAUGCACAAGCAUGCGCACCUCCUGGACGCUGCAGCUUCAACCCAAAGGCAACCUCCACCCUGUUCCAGCAUCUUGUAUCCUCCUGCAACGUGGUGUUUUUGUUUGUUUGUUUGUUUGUUUGUUUUUACUUUUGAUUUCUUACUGCAAAACAAUUGUCACCCAGCUGGUCAAACCCCGGGGUCACGUCUAUAACCCGGCUCUCCUUGCCAUCCCAUGAAUCAUCAAACGCCGCAGAUUUUCCUUCCUGUUAGUGUCCAAAAUCAUUUGCUGGUUUCCAUUUGCUUGGUUGAUACUUUGUUCUAGGUCCCUCUCAUUUUAGGUCUGAGAUGUUGCAGUUGCUGCCUGGCUGAGCUCCUGGUCUUCAGACGUGCUCCGUUCUAAAGGUGGAUUUGCCCUUUUACUGAACGAUCCUCAACUCCAGGCUACCUUGCUUGCAACCUACCCGUUGCAAAUGUUUGCACUUGAUUUUAUAUUUGCAGCUUUACAUUUUCAGUCUGCUCCAAAUCCUCUCCAUUUUGUAUUCAGUUGCCAGGGUAAUCUUCAAGAAAAAAAAAUGACUUUUUCUUUUGGGGGCAGUCUGAGUUUACAACAAAACAGAAAAGAAAAUACAGGCUUUCUGUGUCAGUCCUACCCUACUACCUCAUAAAACCUUCACACUCUUGGCUCUCAAUCCUGGAGGAGUACAUUUGUUAAACUAAUUGACCUAUAGUGAGCAAAGUGCCACUAUCAACAUAAGUUCUUCAUUAGAUAAAGAUGAAUUUGGGGGAUUAAAGUGGCAGGAGGUGUGAUCAAAGUACAUUAUAUUUGCAUGAAAAUUGCCUUAAAUCAUGUAAGUUAAAAGUAUUCUUAAAAUGCUAAUCCUUGAAAAAUGUAUUGCUGGCCUGGAGAGAUGGCUCAGUGGUUAAGAGCACUGAUUGCUCUUCCGAAGGUCCUGAGUUCAAAUCCCAGCAACCACAUGGAAAAAUGUAUUGCUCUAUCGUGUCACUUUCUACUUUAAAACUUGCAGUUGGUUAGUUGGGUGGAGAUGGCUCGUGUCUUUUAAUCUCAGCACUCGGGAGGCAGAGGCAGGCAAAACUCUGUGAGUUCGAGGCCAUCCUGGUCUAAAGAGUGAGUUCUGGGACAGCCAGGGCUACACAGAAAAGCC